rnacentral:rRNA from 1 species
GUCGAACGCGAAAGCCCCGCAAGGGGUGAGUAGAGUGGCAAACGGGUGAGUAACACGUGGGUGACCUGCCUUAGAGUGGGGGAUAACGUCCCGAAAGGGACGCUAAUACCGCAUAAUAUCCUGCCUUUGAAGAGGUGGAGAUCAAAGCCGGGGACCGCAAGGCCUGGCGCUCAAAGAGGGGCCCGCGCCUGAUUAGCUAGUUGGUGAGGUAAUGGCUCACCAAGGCAACGAUCAGUAUCCGGCCUGAGAGGGCGGACGGACACACUGGGACUGAGACACGGCCCAGACUCCUACGGGAGGCAGCAGUGGGGAAUUGUUCGCAAUGGGCGCAAGCCUGACGACGCAACGCCGCGUGGAGGAUGAAGACCUUCGGGUCGUAAACUCCUUUCGAUCGAGACGAACAGCCACCGGGUGAACAAUCCGGAGGUUUGACGGUACCGAGAGAAGAAGCCCCGGCUAACUCCGUGCCAGCAGCCGCGGUAAUACGGGGGGGGCAAGCGUUGUUCGGAAUUACUGGGCGUAAAGGGCUCGUAGGUGGCCAACUAAGUCAGACGUGAAAUCCCUCGGCUUAACCGGGGAACUGCGUCUGAUACUGGAUGGCUUGAGUUCGGGAGAGGGAUGCGGAAUUCCAGGUGUAGCGGUGAAAUGCGUAGAUAUCUGGAGGAACACCGGUGGCGAAAGCGGCAUCCUGGACCGACACUGACACUG